GGAGAGUUGCCCGAGUGGCUUAAGGGAACGGUUUGCUAAACCGUCGGUGGAUUAAAACCCGCCACGUGGGUUCGAAUCCCACACUCUCCGCCA
rnacentral:tRNA from 1 species